UGCGGAAGGAUCAUUAAUGAAACUUCAAAGUCGGCCAAAGGUUGUUGCUGGUGAUUAUUCACAUGUGCACGCCUUUGGUCGCAAAUCCACACACACCUGUGCAUCUAUGACUCGAGGUUGUAAUGACUGAGAGUAACUUUUAUACACUCUUGUAUGUAAUGGAAUGUCUUUUUGUGCUAUAAUGUACAAUAUAAACAACUUUCAACAACGGAUCUCUUGGCUCUCGCAUCGAUGAAGAACGCAGCGAAAUGCGAUAAGUAAUGUGAAUUGCAGAAUUCAGUGAAUCAUCGAAUCUUUGAACGCACCUUGCACCCUUUGGUAUUCCGAAGGGUACGCCCGUUUGAGUGUCAUUGUAAUCUCACUUCUACAACUUUAUUGUUGUUUGAAUGUGGACUUGGAUGUUGCCGUUUUAUCAYGGCUCGUCUUAAAUGCCUGAGUGUACCCUGUUUUGCAGCGUAUCCAGUGUAAUAAACAUUUCACUAGAGUUGGUYGAAAGACCRCGUUGACUAUAUGGGCUCUAUGCUUCAAACCGUCUGCCAUGUGGACAAUUUCUUGACAAUUUGACCUCAAAUCGGGUGGGACUACCCGCUGAACUUAAGCAUAUCAAUAAGCGGAGGAAAAGAAACUAACAAGGAUUCCCCUAGUAACGGYGAGUGAAGAGGGAAAAGCUCAAAUUUUAAAUCUGGUGUCUUUGACUCCCGAGUUGUAAUCUAGAGAAGUGUUUUCCGUGUCGGACCGUGUACAAGUUCCCUGGAACGGGGCGUCAUAGAGGGUGAGAAUCCCGUAUAUGCCACGGACUACCGAUGCUCUGUGAUACACUCUCAACGAGUCGAGUUGUUUGGGAAUGCAGCUCAAAAUGGGUGGUAAAUUCCAUCUAAAGCUAAAUAUUGGCGAGAGACCGAUAGCGAACAAGUACCGUGAGGGAAAGAUGAAAAGCACUUUGGAAAGAGAGUGAAACAGUACGUGAAAUUGUUGAAAGGGAAGCGUUUGAAGUCAGUCGCAUCUGUUGGGGUUCAGCCUGGCUUUUGCCUGGUGUAUUUCCUUUCCGAUGGGUCAGCAUCAGUUUCGACCGAGGGAAAAAGACAUUUGGAAUGUGGCUGUCUUCGGGCAGUGUUAUAGCCUUGUGUUGUAUGUCUCGGUUGGGACUGAGGAUUGCAGCGCGCC
rnacentral:rRNA from 1 species